AUGCCUAUGCUUUUUCUUGAACCCGUCCCACCACUCCACAGUAAAAAAAAACUCCCGAUCCCCAAUUCCGAAUUCUCCUCGAAUGCAUGCUUACCCUAGCAGCAGCCGCCACAGAUCAAUCCAUCCUCCCUUAUUAUGUGCUUCCGCCUCAGGCCAUCCGACGACCGGCGGCGCGGCUGCCUCAUCAGCAUCCCCUUUACCCUCCUCCUCCUAGCCACAUCACUUGACCUUUCCUGCAUCUUCUUCCUCAAGGUCACGCAGGGACACGGAACCGCCGUGGAGCUCUGAGGCCCGGAGGUCAACUGGGGUUCCGGACAGCGCUAGGCCUCCGCCGCCGCCUGCAGGGCCCUGUGCCAGGACGGGGAUUGAAGCUGCGACUCGUGGGUCCUCUAGAUGACGUGUGUGGUUGGACUGCUGACUGAAGAAAUAAAAAGAUGUGGUGGAUCCUGCUGUAAUUGCACUUCUGGUAAUCUUUCAGAGAUGAGAGAUGCUCUGCUUCUACCAUGAAUAAACAUCCAGAUGAAAGAAGAAUCAAACAUUGUUUGCUGAGGAAGAUAGAAAGGCUCUUGAGGAGGCGCUUGGGAAGAACACCAAAGUUGUAGAUGAACUCAACUGCUUGCUGAAGGAUACCUCGGAAACAAGCAUGCAGACAGGUGCUUAGCAGCGUGAAGAUAUCUGUGUUGCAGAAUUGCAUGUCUUUUAACAUCUAAUCAAGUUGAGUAUACCCUAUUGACAUGUUUUUGAUCAAAUAUGUAGUAGAAAUUACUAUAUCUGAGUUGGCUAGAGGGUAAGCCUUACCGCCUUAGAGGAAGAAGGAUAACUUUGAUUUUUCAUGAAAUCAGCUGACUAGUUUAUUUUUGUACUUGUUGUUAGGAUCGAUAAAGGAUAAAACCAACAGAGAGCGCUAACAACAACUUGUUUAAGUUAGCCGCAAGCUGGCAAGGGACAUACAGGUCCUUCCAAGUCGUCUGUGGCUUUGGCAUUCAAGUCAUGGUGGAGACCAUCCUUUACACUUAGCGUCACAGAUGUGAAUGAUGAUAUGAAGGGCACGACGUCGUAUGGCAUUGUAAUCUUCUUCGAGGAUCGUAGUUGCCAGAAAGCUGAUGCGAACUACAUGAUUCUGACGCCAAACGAGCAGCACCUGUUCUACUGUUUUUAGCCACAUCGGUUCUAAAAUGGGAACAUUCAUUUUGCAAGAAUUGCCACAUUCAAAUGCUACAUUAAAAGGCAGAGCACGAGAAGGAAUAUAUAUAUAUAGGAUUAGUUAGAUAUCAUAUUAUGAUGCAAGAUUGUAAGAUGUGUACUCGUAAGAUAAUUUUCGUGAAUGGAUGGUGAUUUUAAUUAUAUAUGUGGAAGUAUUUCUUCAUGCACUGCAUUAAU